UGAUGUUUAGUUUGUUAAAUUUAGCGUAGACGAUACGCAGGUGAAAGAUAAAAAGAGACUUGCGUUAAGCAACAACCGAAAGUUCCAACUUCCAAGUCAAACUAUGCGGAUACUGGCCAGUUGACUUAUUGACAGUUUAGAUAUACCUGGGCGAUAGUUGGCGGUGAAACAUAUUCCUAUAGCGAAAGGCAAGAUUCCGGAAGGUGGUAACAAUUCAAUUUGAAAAUAUGACAAUAAUUACUAAGAAGACAACGAACCGUGUGGAAGAUUGUGAAGAGCUGGAUGACGUGAUCGGCGAUUGCGAAAUUUUCUUGUACACCAAACCGGCGGAAUUCUCUUCCAUCGGCAACUUCCUGUUGUCCAUCACAAGGAACGAAGACAACAUUUAUUUCCAGAAAUGGUUUCUCGUCGCUCGUUUCUCACGCGACGGCCGUGUCUACACCUUUGAAGCUGUCGAGAACGACUCCGGGCGGAUGGAGGCAAUCCGGACGACCGGAAGCGUUCCGGCCGAUCCGAAGGAGAAACUGGCCAUCGGCACAGUUCGCACCUCUCCGCAGAAGCUGCUUUCCUUGGCACAGAAGCAUCCGUACAACGGGACCACAACACCCAUACUAGCCACCUUGAAAAAGUGCCAAGAUUGGCUGAACGAAUUCCUACGAAUGGUUUCGCCAUCGCUAAAUUUACCUUAAUCUUUUUUUAAAAACGUAUAUACACAAUUCUAUGUAAAAUGAUGCAUAAUAAACAAUUCUGAAAAUUGAAA